rnacentral:rRNA from 1 species
UGGGGAAUUUUGGACAAUGGGCGAAAGCCUGAUCCAGCAAUGCCGCGUGUGUGAAGAAGGCCCUUCGGGUUGUAAAGCACUUUUGUCCGGAAAGAAAUCCUUGGCUCUAAUACAGUCGGGGGAUGACGGUACCGGAAGAAUAAGCACCGGCUAACUACGUGCCAGCAGCCGCGGUAAUACGUAGGGUGCAAGCGUUAAUCGGAAUUACUGGGCGUAAAGCGUGCGCAGGCGGUUUGCUAAGACCGAUGUGAAAUCCCCGGGCUCAACCUGGGAACUGCAUUGGUGACUGGCAGGCUAGAGUAUGGCAGAGGGGGGUAGAAUUCCACGUGUGANCAGUGAAAUGCGUAGAGAUGUGGAGGAAUACCGAUGGCGAAGGCAGCCCCCUGGGCCAAUACUGACGCUCAUGCACGAAAGCGUGGGGAGCAAACAGGAUUAGAUACCCUGGUAGUCCACGCCCUAAACGAUGUCAACUAGUUGUU